rfam:Sarcophilus harrisii ctg7180002413300, whole genome shotgun sequence.
GAGAGCAUCCGGAACUUAGGUGGGUGUGCUCAAAGGGCAGUGAGGAUCAAGCCUUGAGCUAUUUUUAUGAACCUUGCCCAGCUGGUGGGCACCUCUCCCUCCUGCACCACCUUUGGCUCCUAGACACUAACCCUAGCCGCUUCUCUGCUGAACCCUGCCUCUCCCUGGCUGGCCCUGCUCUCUAACCACUAACAGGCACUGCCUCCGCUUGGCCCCUGAGUACCCAGGCCACUGGCCUGCCUGUCACGGCUCUCACCGUUUCCUAUUAACCUUUUCUGCGUGACCACUACUAACCCUUCCCCCUCAGUUCCUUCCAGCAGAAACUAAUGGCUUGCUGACUCCUUUCCACUAACAAGCAGGUCCAGCUCUCUGUGGUUAACAGCUUGAGUGUCUGCAUGGCUGGU